GUCACCUGCGGGGACACACCCAGUGCUGUUUAAAAUCUUGAACUUUCCUUUUUUUUUUUUGAUUAGCUAAAAAAAUUUUUUUUUUAAAGAAGACCUCACUGCAGAACAAUCUAAAAACACUUCAGACUGCCCAGGCCCAGGGUUUAGCCUAGGCCCCAGCAAGGACUCUGGGCCUCACUCCACAAAGACGCACCAAGGGACUUCUCCCAGGUACCCAAAGGUAAGAAACCAGACCAGCCAAGGAAGCAAGGAGGGGAGUAAGAUGUAGAGAGCGAAGCCAGAGGAAGGCACCAUGUUUGGAUUCUAGAUCUGAACAAUCCUUGUUUUUAAAAAUCUACAAGAAAGAAGGUUCCACAACUUCUUCUAGCAACUACUGCCUCUCAGAGUGAGAUAUAUCAUCUCCUAAUCCUGUCUUCAGUGGAGAAGAAACUUUUGGUAGGUAAAACGAAGAUAGGGCAGUCUUAGUGGACCACAAGAUGAAGAGCAUCAGCAGUGAUUAUUGCUGGGAUCAUUCUGAAAAGUAUCCAGAGAGACAGAAGCCACAAGCUGAGGGGUGGUCCUUUCUCAGUGCCCUGUGGUCAGGGCAAGCUCUUGUUACCACAACGGAUGUGGGCCCAGGGUGGUAACUACAAUUACAAAAGAAUGUCGAGAACAGCAGAGAGUUCGGAGAUAAGAGCCAAAGAUGAUUAAAAGGCCAGGAUAGUGCCUACCAGGAAAGCAGUUCUGUUCCACCUCACUAGGAGAAAAGGCUAAAGGCCAUUUUCACGUGUAAUGUUUAUCAGAGAUUUUAUGAGGGGCCCUCAGAUCAUUGGUUUUCUGUGUUAAGGAAAGAAUAAACACGAAGAGAUAAGCUUCCUGUUAGGCAUAAAUGCUUGGUGUUGGGCAAAGGAAUAGCUUUACAAUGCUAAUUAGAGGGAGCGAUAAUCCUAACGGUGACUCGUGGAGACUAGCAGUCAGAGUAGGAGUGUGCUCCGUAGGCUUUUCAGUGGCUGAUUUUCUGGAUAUAGAUCACCGCACCUUUCUUCCCAGGUGCUGCUGGUUGAACUCGACCCUCCAACCUUUCAGCUAGUAGCCAAGCGUAUUCACCUUUUGCACCACCCAGGGACUCCAACAAUUGCAUUCCAGCAAAGGUCCUGUUUUCGUUCCCUUCUAGUCCCUGCCCGGUUCAGUUAUGGCUGCAGGGCUGAGGUACCGUCUGACACUCUGCACUUACCACUUAUCUGCCCCGCGCUGCCUCACUGCCUGAGCCGCUUAUCGGCUUUACUGGCAGCAUGUCCGCUAACCCACUUGAGUGGGCAUAUGUCUGCCCUCCCCAUCCUGUUCGCCCACGCUGGGCGUGUGACCCUGCAGUGCAUGCUAGACGGGGCAGCCUUCCUGAGAGAAGGGUAGGGGGCACGGGCACUGUGUAACCUGGGAAAUGUCCCCAAAUGCCUAAGGAAGCACUUGCUGGCACAGAGGAGACACUCCACAGACGAUGAAGAAAUGAAUUGUUAAUAGAAAGUACGACAUUGCCUAGCCAAGGACAGACAGCACUGGCAACCUGCCUGGGGCCCAGGGUGACCUAGGACGCCCAUCCCUGCAUCCAGUCAUCAUGUUCUUAUUUGAAGACCACUUACCACCCUGGAGCCUCCUGUAAAGUCUCAAAACCCCUUCUCCAGAAAUCAUGCUUUCUGUUGCAUAACUUUGUUUACACGGCUUGUUUUCCCAUGUUCAUUAGUGACUGUGAGGCCUUCAACUGGGGUGAGCAUUUUGUUGGCUAGAAAACCAGUGAUGCUUUCCUAAGUUUGCAAACGCAAAUAUUUGGGCGACAGGGUCUUCAAGAGACAGCUGCAAACAGAAGUGACUUCCCAGGCCUGGGCCCCACACAGGAAGGAAACCUCAUUGCGUUAUGUUACACCAUCCAAGGCUUCUGAGUGAGCUUUCCAAAGUAAAAAAAAAAAAAGGACAGGCCAGCCAAAUUUAAUACAAUAAUUCUUCUGUGG